CAGAGAUCAUUUAAGGUAACCCCCUUCGUCUGAUGACAAAUGAACAGAAAUCCAGACAAGCAGCCCUCCCCCUAUUAGGGGCGAUGGAUUUACCCUGUUGCCUGGAGACCAGACUCAAACAGACCCAGAGAGAGCACCCGGGCAUUGGCUCUGGAGGGGUUAAGAACGAGUCCUGGAGCGGAUAACUCCUGCAGUGGAUAACAGAGCCGAGUAACCCCAGCAAAGUAAAGCCUCAGCUCGAGCUGGAAGGAGACAACAGGAAGAAGGCAGCAUCUGCAGGCCCCCUCCCCAGGCAGGACUUACCUCCCGCCCCAGCACUCAGGCUGCCUCCUGCUAGAUUAAUAUUUCUCAACAUAUAAUUAAAUGUUGUUUUUGUAAUUAA